GACAGAAUUGACAAAUUGAAAACACGAGAAAGAGAGAUACCUGAAGAAGAAAUUACAGGAAAAAGAGAGAGAGAAAGCUAACUCCGGUGGCCGAUAACAAACUCUGGUGACUUUUUCCGUCCAGUUGAGUUCAACGCUUCAACCCACUUCUUACGUUUUACGGCCGGCGAGUUUUGUUUUGUUGUUUCAAUGGCUGCUUACUACAGUUUCC
rnacentral:lncRNA from 1 species